CCACCCAAUCAAACAAUUGGAGAGGCCGUCUAACGAUGAAUAUAGAGCCGAUCCAACCAAAUCUUAGACUUUAGUCGUGAGUAAAUUGUCUUCUCUUAAUUUCAAGGGCUGGUGUUACAUUUUCACAUCUCUUCUUCCAUCAUUGCCACAACCAGUGCGUCUACCAGUGGUUAACAAUGGCGACAAUGCUACAACCCUUUCUUCAGCAACCCCCUUCUCUCACCCCAUUUCUUCAUGCGAAGACUCCAAUUUCUGAAUCCUCUUCUCGAUUCUCUCUCAAAUUCGGAAUCUUCGCAUGUCGCCAAACAUCUCCGUCUCCGUCUGUUUCUACUUCUCCUUCUCCCAUGGAUGUCGUCAAUGGCAACGCUGAUUUGAAUUCCGCUCCGCGUUCUCAAAUUCGCCUUGGUCUUCCUAGUAAAGGUCGCAUGGCUUCCGACACUCUUGACCUCCUUAAGGAUUGUCAAUUAUCGGUGAGGCAAGUGAAUCCUCGUCAAUAUGUUGCUCAAAUUCCUCAGCUUUCAAAUGUGGAAGUGUGGUUUCAACGGCCAAAAGAUAUUGUGAGGAAGCUGCUAUCUGGAGAUUUGGAUCUGGGAAUUGUAGGGUUUGAUACUCUAAGUGAGUAUGGACAGGGCAGUAAAGAUCUCGUUAUGGUUCACGAUGCUCUUGAUUAUGGGGAGUGCCACUUAUCACUUGCAAUUCCUAAGUAUGGCAUAUUUGAGAAUAUCAAUUCUUUGAAGGAGCUUGCUGCAAUGCCUCAAUGGACAGAAGACAAACCUCUGCGUGUUGCUACUGGCUUUACUUAUCUUGGUCCAAAGUUCAUGAGAGAAAAUGGGCUGAAGCAUGUUACAUUCUCAACUGCUGAUGGAGCACUCGAGGCAGCCCCCGCUAUGGGUAUCGCUGAUGCAAUCUUGGACCUUGUAAGUAGCGGUACAACCUUAAGAGAGAAUAAUUUGAAAGAGAUUGAAGGUGGUAUUGUGUUGCAGAGUCAGGCUGUGCUUGUUGCAAGCAGGAAAUCUUUGAUCCAGCGUGAUGAUGUUCUUGACACAACCCAUGAGAUAUUAGAAAGAUUUGAGGCGCACCUGAGGGCAGCUGGUCAAUUUACGGUGACGGCAAAUAUGCGGGGGAAAAGCGCAGAGGACGUUGCUCAGAGAAUACUUGGCCAAUCAUCUUUAUCUGGGCUACAGGGACCCACUAUUUCUCCUGUAUUCUGCAAAAGAAAUGGAAAAGUGUCAGCAGAUUAUUAUGCUAUAGUAAUAUGUGUUCCCAAAAAGGCCCUCUAUACGUCGGUUAAGCAGCUAAGAGCAGAUUAAAUUGCUUAAUGAGAUGGAGAAGCCUCGUGGGACCACAAAUCGCUUUGUAGCUAGAGAGAGCUAUAGCUUACACGUUGAUUCUGGAAUAUGUUAGAAUUAGAGCAAUCACUUCUAUUGGUGGCAGUGGAGUCCUGAUUUCACCGCUCACCUAUAUUUUCGAUGAAGAAACUCCAAGAUGGCGUGAACUGCUCACCAAACUUGGCCUCUAAUGAUCCACAAUUUUACUGUUUUGUGAGUUUUACGAGGUGAGUUGUGACCAAUGAAGACCGUUCCUAGAAAAGCUGAGCAUUUAGUAAAUUUUUGAGUCAUAUAUUUGUUUAAAAUCAAGUAUCCACUCUCGGCGUACCUUGUCCAAAGUGCAAAGGUGUUGACGAUAGGAUGUGUGAACUACUUGGUUGCACUGAGUGCUAUAUUUAGAUUGCUUUUGGAUACAAAAGGAAACUUGCAUAAAGUAGUAGCAAAGUCUCAUCUGUGUUUGAGAGCUGCGGAUUUUAAUUUGGUGUUUUUUUUGGUACUAAGGCUUUGUCAUGGUUGUAUUCGUGGUAACAAUAUACUAUUACGUAUGUGAUUUCUUCUUUUUUAAUUACAAGUUAGGUUGAGAGAAGGGGAGAAGAUGAAAAUUACACCCAGAACUUUCCCGAAAAGUGGUGCUUGUUCUCCAACUAAGACAAGAUCUAAUUCUCUACCUACUCCUGUGAUUUCCGAAUGCUUGAUUAUGAUUUUAAGUUUAAUGUAAAAAUUUUGCUUGGCAAAUUUGCAAUCA